AGUGAACGCUGGCGGUAGGCCUAACACAUGCAAGUCGAACGGCAGCACAGUAAGAGCUUGCUCUUACGGGUGGCGAGUGGCGGACGGGUGCGGAAUACAUCGGAAUCUACUUUUUCGUGGGGGAUAACGUAGGGAAACUUACGCUAAUACCGCAUACGACAUACGGGUGAAAGCAGGGGAUCUUCGGACCUUGCGCGAUUGAAUGAGCCGAUGUCGGAUUAGCUAGUUGGCGGGGUAAAGGCCCACCAAGGCGACGAUCCGUAGCUGGUCUGAGAGGAUGAUCAGCCACACUGGAACUGAGACACGGUCCAGACUCCUACGGGAGGCAGCAGUGGGGAAUAUUGGACAAUGGGCGCAAGCCUGAUCCAGCCAUACCGCGUGGGUGAAGAAGGCCUUCGGGUUGUAAAGCCCUUUUGUUGGGAAAGAAAAGCAGCAGGUUAAUACCCCGCUGUUCUGACGGUACCCAAAGAAUAAGCACCGGCUAACCUCGUG
rnacentral:rRNA from 1 species